rnacentral:rRNA from 1 species
CCUACGGGAGGCAGCAGUCGAGAAUCAUUCACAAUGGGGGAAACCCUGAUGGUGCGACGCCGCGUGGAGGAAUGCAGGUCUUCGGAUUGUAAACCCCUGUCAUGUGGGAGCAAAUUAAAAAGAUAGUACCACAAGAGGAAUAGACGGCUAACUCUGUGCCAGCAGCCGCGGUAAUACAGAGGUCUCAAGCGUUGUUCGGAAGCACUGGGCGUAAGGCGUGCGUAGGCUGUUUCGUAAGGCGGGUGUGAAAGGCGCGGGCUCAACCGGCGCACGGCACAUGAUACUGCGAGACUAGAGUAAGGCAGGGGGAACCGGAAUUCUCGGUGUAGCAGUGAAAUGCGUAGAUAUCGAGAGGAACACUCGUGGCGAAGGCGGGUUCCUGGACAUUAACUGACGCUGAGGCACGAAGGCCAGGGGAGCGAAAGGGAUUAGAUACCCCAGUAGUC